UGUGCUGUGACAAAUAACACCAGGCCCAGGGGGAGGAGUGGACAUGGUGCAGCAUCCUUCUUGCUGCAAAAGAGGAUUUUGUGGAACAGCUGUUCUCUGUAGCCUCCUGAAGUUGAAUCCUUGUCUCUGUGCUCUCUCUGCCUUUGCAUCGCUCCCUGGGGCUAAUGAUUCCUACGGUAAUAGAACAGGCUAAAAUCUCCUGCUGUGCUUUGGCACUUGUGAGGUCCUUGGCUGCCUCAUCCCCAGAGUUGCAAUAAAUGGGCCAAAAGGAGCUGCUGCAGCAGAUGGAAGAUCCCAUCGGGCUAAUGAGAUGACUUGCAUGUGUUUGCAACAUCUGGGUUGCAAACUCCAGAUGCUCCAGCUUUGCCUUCUUGUGAACAGGCCCAAUUUAAUGCAACCUGUCUAAUCUGAGAGAUCCCAAGCCAGGAGUUUGAUGUGAACUUGCUUCAAAGCAGCUUUGCCAGCACUUAAAAGGAAAGCCCUAAAUUGCAUCGAGACUCAGGAAUGUGCAAGGAGGAAGGUCACCUUUUAAAAUGACCUUGAAGUGUUUACUUCUGGCAUAUCAUCUUGUGUCUAGAGAAUCAUUUUAAAGGUGGGUAAGUCCUCUGACUCAAAAAUAUCCAAAGUGAUGGGAGUUGCUGCUGCAGGUAAGAAGAACCUUACUAUAGCCCUCAGUCUGGCCUGGGCCGGCCGGGAGCCUGAGGUGGGUGGCAGCUGAGCCAGAUAAAAUGCCAUUCCUCCAGUGGCAUCCAUGGACUUGCAUGGUUUACACAAAUGGCACAUCUGGCCCAAAUUUGGGAUUCUCAAAACCAGGAAAGGAAACAAUAGAGUCCCCAGAGAGUCCAGUGUCAGCCGUGCAGGAGCGAUGCUGCCGCCGGCCCUGCGAGCGCCACGGCUCUGGCCGGGAAGGAAACAGGGCUGGUAACACCUGGGGACGGGUGACAAGCCAGAGAUACUGACAUUGUCCUUGCUCUACAUUUCCACAGCUGCAGGAGGGGUUUAUAAAGCAGAGGAGAGGCUGUGGGCUGCUUUGCUCGACCUUGUGCCUUUCCCAGGGAGCUGCAGCUCGUUGUUUCCCUGGGUGCUGCGUGAGCUGCAGCACAGGAGCUGGCUGCAGGAAAGGGGAUCCCAUGGUGCUGGACCUGGGAGUGUGGGUGGCUCUCCCAUGACCCUGAUGUUGUUGCAGAUUCAUUCUCCAAGGUGGGAUCUGUUUUUGCUCUCUGAAAGUCUGUGGGAUCUGGCCAGGAGGAGGGCUGCUAACGUGCUCAUUUGUAAGGGGGACAGGACAGAGGGCUCCAGCUCUGCAGCUCAGGUUUAUUCACAUGAUUUUUUCAGUGUCCUUCUGGUUUUGUUUUGUUUUGUUUCUAUAAGCCCUGCCUGGUGCUGAAAGAGCAGCAUUACCUCCUCACACAGCAAUCACCUUCUGCUGCAUCCCACCCCAGCCUUUCAAAGCACCCACAGUGUCUGUGCCCCCACUCCUCGUCCUAAAAAAGAAAUCACUCCUGCUGCAGAAAGCUGAAUUAGAAGCUCAUGAUAUGCAGCCUCCAGCAAUGCAGCAGUUUUGUAAGCAAUGCUGGUAAUUCUCUGACACCUGAGUGGUCCAAGCUAAAUAUCCAUGGCACAUGCUCAUGCACAGGCUGUGAUCAGGCUGUUGAAACCGAGCUGCUGCUCUGCAAUCAGGGGUUUGGUUUAUUCCUGCUGCCCAGAGUAGCAAUGACUAGUUUGAAGAUGCAUGUCAAAUUCAGGUGAGAGCAUCUAAAUGCACGUGCCAGCAAAGCUUUGUAAUGACUCCAUCCCCUCCCCUUUCACCACCCAGAUUUCCUGGGGCUGCUGUUUGUGUGCUGGUUGCUGGUUUGUAACUGGUGAUGUGCUCUGUGUUGCUCUUGCACAUGGGGUUAAUGAUUUAUACUGCCUCACUAAAAUAAAACCUACUCUCUUUUUUUCCCCCUAGCUUUCUUGCAGCUGCCAAAAUAACGUUUGUUGUGUCUUGUUCUGUUUUGGGUUUGAGGUUUUUCCAGCACAGCAGGAGCACCCAGCAGUGCUGGUGGCUGAGGAGCUGUGAAAGAGCCUCUUCAAACUCUUCACCUCCAGCUUUUGGUUGGGCUGGCUGCCUACAGAUUUAAGUGCUUUUAGUUAAACAGAUUUGCAGCACAGGGAGGACCAGAGCCAUGAACCCACCAGAGAAAACAGCAAAGGCCACGGUGUAGGUCAUGAGCAGGGGGAAGGUGGUGGCCAGAGGACAGAGCAGGUUGGUGAUGCCACUGAGGACAAGGUAAGUCACAUGGUAGUGAUACUUCUUGGUCCAGUUCUUGUCGGCAACCCAGCCCGAGAGCAGCUGGCUGACCAUCUCUGUGAUGCCUGGGGGCAAGAGGACUUCACUGCAGCCUCAGACACUUUCUUUUGCUACUUGUUUGCUGCUUUGCACUGUGUUGCUCUGACACAUCCCAGCCCCAGCUGCCACUGGCUGUGAGGAGUGACCAGCAGGGCUGGCAGUUCCAGGCACCUUCAGCCUGUGGACUUUUAUUUCUUUACCUGCUCUUGCCAAGUGCCUGUGAGUGCCCCAGAGUGCUCUGUGAAAGCUCAGUUUAGGGCUGUGCACUCAGGGGAAAGCACUGACAUGCCCUUCAGUGAAAACAGGGCAGAUGAGCUUGAGGAAAAGCAGGAUGUUCAUAUGCUCAGGAGAUGGAAGUGUUGCUAAAGGAGGACAGAAAGCCCAGCUUUUCUUACUUAAGGCUCAGCAGAGUUUCAAUAUUGAGCUUUUCCACUUCUCUGUGUUUUUAUGAAGGGCAGGGCAGUGCUCACUGGCAGCUCAGAUCCUGCUGACCACUGUGUCCCCCUGCCUCUGAAAUCAAAUGUCAGGUCAAUUGCUGCUGUCUGCUUCGAGGUGCCUUGACAGCAAGCAGCAUUUCUAAAGGUUAUACAGCAGUGUGGAAGGAGAAGUUAUUUUUGUACAAUAAAAUACUGAAU